rnacentral:tRNA from 1 species
AGCUCAGUUGGGAGAGCGCUACAAUCGCACUGUAGAGGCGAAGGGUUCGAAUGUCUUGAGGU